AGGCGAAACGCUGGUGCUUUUGCGUCCAGCGUCGUCGUGGGGUAGGUGCCCACGGCCUGACGAGCCAGCCGCCC
rnacentral:hammerhead_ribozyme from 1 species